UACGAAGGGGGCGAGCGUUGUUCGGAUUUACUGGGCGUAAAGGGCGCGCAGGCGGCGAUCUUUGUCAGGCGUGAAAGCCCCGGGCUUAACCUGGGAACUGCGCUUGGGACGGGAUUGCUGGAGACCGGGAGAGGAGAGUGGAAUUCCCAGUGUAGAGGUGAAAUUCGUAGAUAUUGGGAAGAACACCGGUGGCGAAGGCGGCAUCCUGGACCAACACUGACGCUGAGUGAGCGAAAGCCAGGGGAGCAAACGGG
rnacentral:rRNA from 1 species